UACGAAGGGGGCGAGCGUUGUUCGGAAUUACUGGGCGUAAAGGGCGCGUAGGCGGCGAACCAAGUCAGAUGUGAAAGUCCUGGGCUUAACCUGGGGACUGCAUUUGAUACUGGUUUGCUUGAAUUCGGGAGAGGAUAGCGGAAUUCCCAGUGUAGAGGUGAAAUUCGUAGAUAUUGGGAAGAACACCGGUGGCGAAGGCGGCUAUCUGGGACCGACGAUUGACUGCGUGAGGCGCG
rnacentral:rRNA from 1 species